UACGUAGGGUGCGAUCGUUAAUCGGAAUUACUGGGCGUAAAGCGUGCGCAGGCGGUUUGCUAAGCCAGAUGUGAAAUGUCCGGGCUUAACCUGGGAGCUGCUUACGUGACUGCCAGGCUAGAGCGCGGCUGAGGGGAGUAGAAUGCGGCGUGUAGCGGUGAAAUGCGUAGAUAUGCCGAGGAACACCGAUGGCGAAGGCAACUCCCUGGGCAUGCACUGACGCUCAUGCACGAAAGCGUGGGGAGCAAACAGG
rnacentral:rRNA from 1 species